GACGAACGCUGGCGGCGUGCUUAACACAUGCAAGUCGAACGAUGAAGAAGAGAAACGCGAACUUCGGUUCAAAUUUCACUUCGGAUUAGUGGCAGACGGGUGAGUAACGCGUGAGCAGCCUACCUCUUACAAAGGGAUAGCCUCGGGAAACCGUGAUUAAUACCAUAUGACACAUUCAUAAGGCAUCUUAAGAAUGUUAAAGCUACGGCGGUAAGAGAUGGGCUCGCGUCCCAUUAGCUAGUUGGUGAGGUAACGGCCCACCAAGGCGACGAUGGGUAACCGGCCUGAGAGGGUGAACGGUCACAUUGGAACUGAGACACGGUCCAAACUCCUACGGGAGGCAGCAGUGGGGAAUAUUGCACAAUGGAGGGAACUCUGAUGCAGCGACGCCGCGUGAGCGAUGAAGGAAUUCGUUUCGUAAAGCUCUGUUCUAUGGGAAGAAAAGGACUGUACCAUAGGAGAAAGCCCCGGCUAAAUACGUG
rnacentral:rRNA from 1 species